CCCGCCGGCGACCGGCGCACGGGUGAGUAACACGUAUGCAACCUGGCCGCCACAGGGGGAUAACCCGCGGAAACGCGGCCUAAUACCCCGUGACGCCACCGGAGGGCAUCCUCCGGUGGCCAAAGGAGCGAUCCGGUGGGCGGAUGGGCAUGCGGCGCAUUAGCUAGACGGCGGGGUGACGGCCCACCGUGGCGACGAUGCGUAGGGGUUCUGAGAGGAAGGCCCCCCACACUGGGACUGAGACACGGCCCAGACUCCUACGGGAGGCAGCAG
rnacentral:rRNA from 1 species